rnacentral:lncRNA from 1 species
UGCGUUGCUCAAAGGUGGCAGAAAGGAAGAUGCCAUGGACUUGUUCGCUGCUAUCCCUGCUAAUGGUUUGGUUCCAGAUGUUGUGACCUACCGCGUAGUUGCAGAAAAUCUUAUAGAAGAAGGAUCGCUAGAAGAGUUUGACAGUCUGUUUUCAGCAAUGGAAAAGAAUGGUACUGCUCCAAACUCACAAAUGUUAAAUGCUCUAGUUAGGAGGCUGUUGCAUAGAGGUGACAUAAGCAGGGCUGGGGCUUACCUCUCCAAACUUGAUGAGAGGAAUUUCUCAGUUGAGGCUUCCACUACUUCAAUGCUUAUAUCAAUUUUCUCCAGUGAUGAAUAUCAGCACCAUGCCAAGUCUCUGCCUAAAAAGUAUCGUAUCCUAAAUGAAGCCAAUAGUUCAGCAUUGAUAAAAAAGUGAAUAUUGUUUUCAACUAUGUUGAUACAUCUUCAUGUGGCAUCUUAUUUACCAACCCUGCUCUGCUGCCUCCUUUGUUUGAAGAAACACUCUUGAGAAAUGUUGUCCUGUUAAUGCACUUUGGUAUCAAGCUCACCAGCUCAAAUUAUCUUGUGCCAUCCCAGUUUUAUAAGUAUGUUCAGAGGGGGGGAGCAAUUUACAAAUUAACGGGUGUAGCAACAUUCGCUCCUUAUUGUUAUAUAUUUGUGUAACAGUUCCUGAUGUCCUGGGGAUAAAAUCAAUGAUCUCGACCUUUUUUUCAUGAUAAAAUUCAUAUAUUUUUAAACCCUGUAUUAUGCCCUCACUGUUAGCAGUGGUUACCGUUUGUAAUUCCAUGGAUUAAGAGAAUAAGAACAAGCUCUAACAAUCACGCUUUGGUUGUUUCAUAUAAUAUCUUCUACAUUAAUUUUGAUGUUUUUGAAGGCUUUUGUUUGUCUAUUCACCAUUUCUGGACGGGCUGCAAGGUUAUAAAAAUGAAUAUUGCUCCUACAGGGCACUUUCAUGUAACAUGAUUUGCCAGCUCAACGCCUACUGUACAGGCCCGGCAUGCAUGUUCCUUCUGUUAUCAUUCCUUUGUGACGUGGAGUUCCACCUGUGCUUUCGAGGUAUGUUCUAAACUCAAAAGUGUUUUUGUGAUCUUUCAUGUUAGAUGUUCCCAAUUUAUGCAAUGUGGGCAUUGUCUAUUAUUAACGUGCUGAUCAUUUGUUUGUGUAACAUUGGUCUUGUGAAGUUUCUCUUGUUGAUAUUGAACACGUAACCAUACAACAUUGCAUAAUUUCAGUAGAGGGAAAGUAUGUCAAUAUUUGUCAUGCGAUACCCAGAAGAGGCAGAUUCUUACAAUCUCAUGCAGAGACUUGUUCUGAAUUCUGUUCGAUAGUUGUUAUUUUCCCCUUAGUACUGUGUUGGUUCGUGAUUCUAGUCGGAUUUUGCUCAAUGCUGCUCAUGUGUUAUAUAUGUUUCCUUGAAACAAAAAUCAAGAGCCUUGAAUGCUUUUUUUUUAAAAAAAAGUAAGGAUUGUGUUUAUACUUGGCACUACAUAACUCACAUUCGUUACAGAGAAGAAAUGGUUUCUUCAGUGUGCCAUAGCAUCCAGUUGUUCAGUUGGUGAUAAAAGUAGCAAUGGAGAAUUUUGGAAGUGUGUCAACUGUCAGAAGUAUUGUCUCUGUUAAAACACGUGUAAUUUAUUUAGUAUUUUCAGCUUUUAAAUUUAAUAACAAACAGACAGGGAGUAUUUGUAUGAAGAGAGAAUGUAUGGUCCAAUAGUAUGGUGAAAUGAGAUGGCUACCUUUCCAUUUUGUUGUUUUUCCAUCGAAGGCCUUAAGAGCAGCCCUUUGAGAUGUCACAGUGAUAUUUCCAAUUUUUUGACCAUUUUCCCCUUGGUUUUUGGCAGACCACAGCCUGAAGCAGCCUGUGCAUGUGACCACACCUCCGCCACAGCGAAGUGAUCGUUGUUCCAAUGGCAGGGGCAGAGGCAGCAAUGGUGGUGCAUCCAGCACCGGUGGAAAGUGACAGAGGAGAGAUGGCCGUGGUAGUAACACUAAUAGCAAUAACAGUCACAGGAGCCUUCGAUGGAAUAUCAGCACCAUGCAACAAUAGUCACAGGGCCCAACUUAAACUGACGACCUAGACAUGAAGCCCAAGCCGAAGAAGCCUACACCAAAAAUGCCUGCCAUCUCAUUCUCAUCACAACAAGGCGGAAAUCCUGUCUCCGAUCCAUGCCGUUAGUUCCGCAUCUCAUCACGCCGCCUAUGCUCUCGGAGCUUCUGCCCUGCCAUGCGGGAGCAAUUCGUUGAACAGCUGGAGGUGCGCCACGCCGCUCCCGCGGCCGUGCCGCGCGAGGCCAGGCAACCUGAGCCUCGACCACACAGUCCAGCAGUUCGACAAAUUCCUCCUCCACGUCAGGCCCUGCCACGGUUACCACCGCCUUGAACCACCUCCACACACCUGUGUUCGCCGCUUCUUGACGGGUUGCAAGGUAGAUAGAAAUGAAUAUUGCUUCUACAGGGCAGUUUUUGUGCAUAUCUAUAUGAUUUGCAGGCUCAUCGCCAAGUACAGGCUGAGCAUGCCUAUUCCUUAUGUUAUCAUUCUUUGUCUAAAGACAAACCAACUGAGCUGGAAUUAUUUUACUGGUGCUGGUGCUAGUAGCAGUGGUGGUGGUUCCACUGGGCGGAAGGUGACAGAAAGGAGAUGACCGUGUAGUAACAGUAACAACAGCUGCAGGGGGCAGCACCAUCCAUUGAUGUUUGCAAUGCCUCUCUUAGUAGUAAUUUAUAGUUAGAACCUAAUGCUUUGAGAGUUUGGUGAGUGCUUCUAUUGCAGUACCAUGCUGGGUACCAGCUAAUGCUUGAAACUUUACAUUCUAGUAUUUGUUUUCCAGUGUGUCUAGAUCUGUAACAAGCCUGAUGUAAUAAGAAUCAUAAUACUGCGAGUGGCAGAUGUGAUGUGUUAGUGGCUAAAGCUAUCUAUCUGUCAAGCUUUAGGGAUAAGCUUGAUGUGUUAGUGGCUAAAGCUACAUUGUCUCUGCUUGUGCACUUGUGGCAUUUUCAGUCUGAAUAAACGAAUGGUGGUGGCUAAAAUGAGAUGUACCGACUGGCGAUGGAUCUCCACCUCUAGUUUAAGAUGGGAAGAUAAGUGUUUUUUUAGGAUGAUGAUCAGAAAGAUGAGAAUGGAAAAGUGAAGCAUUCUGAUUUGCUACUUCGAAGAAUUAGGAUGUUCCCUUAAAGGUUUUUUUUUUUUGGGUCUUACUCCUGGUCAAGAAUUUUUUUUUUUUACUGGGUUCAAGGGAAGGCCAAUGUAGGAAGCUGUAAAAGGUUUAGGCCAUGUUUAGAUUGGAGAUGAAAAAUUUUUAGGUGUCAUAUCGGAUAUGUCAGAAGGAUGUCGGGAGGGUUUUUUUAGAAACUAAUAAAAAAAUAAAUUACAUAGCUCGUUUGGAAACUGCAAGACAAAUCUAUUAAGCAUAAUUAAUCUGUCAUUAAUUCAUGUGGGUUACUGUAGCACUUAAGGCUGAUCAUGGACUAACUAGGUUUAAAAGAUUCGUCUCGUGAUUUUUUCAAUUCAACUGUGUAAUUAGUUUAUUUUUUUAUCUACAUUUAAUAUUUCAUGCAUGUGUUCAAGGAUUCGACGAGAUUGAUUAAAAAUUUUUGGGUAGAAAACUAAACAGGGCCUUAUUUGACCCAUAUUGCAAAAAAUUUAACAAUCAGACUUAAUUUAUUUGACCCCAUUCCGGAACCAACGAAUAAUCACACCAGGAACGAUGUAUAAACAUAUACAUAGUGGCCGUAGGCUGUAAAAUCCUUAAAAAAAACGCAAAUUCAGAUGUUUUUUCCAGAUUGCAGUAUGUGAUGUGGAGAAACAAGAAAAGAAAAAACAGCCAAGAGAGAGGUGAGGCAGUCGCGCCCUUGGGCCUCAGUAGCGCCCAGGCCCAGCACCACCCCAGCGCCUGCGCCUGCGGCCGUCGCCCCGCCCUGCCCAACCACCAGCGCGCUGCGCGCCCAGCCCAGCUGCACGCCGCCGCGGCGCCGCCCACACAACCCAGGACACGGCACACGCGGGCGCGCCCAUCUCACGACAGUGCUGUGCUUCACCGACCCGGAGGCGGACGCAGCGCGCCGCCCGUCCCUGCCUGUCCUCGCUUGCCCCGUCUCCCCCGCACCGUCGGCAUGCCCCGCUGCGUGAGCACCGUCCGCGACCGGUGCUUGGAGCUGGAGCGCAUCAUCGCCGCCCGCGCACGCUCGGGAAGCCUCGGCCUCGACGACGCGCUGAAGCUGUUCGAUGAAUUGCUUAUCCACGCCAGGCCCGCCUCAGUUGUUGCCUUCAACCAGAUCCUCAAUGCUGUCUCACGUGCCUCACGUGCCUCGGGGCGACGCUCCUCCUCCACCUCAGAGUCAGAGCUCGUCGUCUCCCUCUUCAACCGGAUGGUACGUGAAUGCUCCAUCAAGGUGGCCCCCAACACUUGCACCUACAGCAUCCUCAUCGGUUGCCUCUGCCGCAUGGGCCGCCUGAAGCAUAGCUUCGCCACCUUUGGCCUCAUCCUGAAGACGGGCUGGAGGGUGAAUGACAUAGUCAUCAAUCAACUGCUCAAAGGACUUUGUGACGGAAAGAGAGUGGGUGAGGCCAUGGACGUUUUGCUCCAACGGAUGCCUGAACUUGGCUGCACGCCGGAUACAGUUUCAUACAGCAUACUUCUCAAGGGUUUUUGCAAUGAAAACAGAGCUGAGGAGGCACUUGAGCUACUACGUAUGAUGGCUAAUGAUCAUGGUAGAAGCUGCCCACCAAAUGUUGUGACAUACACCACAGUAAUUGAUGGCCUGUGCAAAGCUCAGUUGUUUGAUAGGGCUGAGGGUGUCUUUCAGCAGAUGAUUGAUAAUGGCGUUAAGCCAAACAAUGACACAUAUAAUUGUCUGAUCCAUGGAUACCUCUCUAUAGGGAAGUGGAAAGAGGUGGUACAAAUGCUUGAAAAAAUGUCUGCACGUGGUCUCAAGCCAGAUUGCUAUACUUAUGGUUCACUGCUGAACUACCUAUGCAAGAAUGGAAGAUGCAGAGAAGCUAGAUUUUUUUUUUGAUUCUAUGAUUAGGAAGGGCAUAAAACCUAAUGUAAGCACCUAUGGCAUUUUGAUUCAUGGAUAUGCUACCAAAGGUGCUCUUUCUGAAAUGCAUAGUUUCCUAGAUUUGAUGGUAGAAAAUGGUCUUUCACCUGAUCAUCACAUCUUCAACAUAUUCUUCAGUGCAUAUGCUAAAUGUGGUAUGAUAGAUAAGGCAAUGGAUAUCUUCAACAAAAUGAGGCAGCACGGGUUGAGUCCUAAUGUAGUAAACUACGGAGCACUAAUAGAUGCACUAUGCAAGUUAGGCAGGGUGGAUGACGCUGAGGUCAAAUUCAACCAGAUGAUCAAUGAAGGAGUGACUCCUAACAUUGUUGUUUUUAACUCCCUAGUUUAUGGACUGUGCACCGUUGACAAAUGGGAGAGGGCUGAGGAAUUAGUUUAUGAAAUGUUGGAUCAAGGAAUCUGUCCUAAUGCAGUGUUCUUCAACACAUUAAUCUGUAACUUAUGCAAUGUAGGACGGGUUAUGGAAGGCCGGAGGCUCAUUGACUUGAUGGAACAUGUAGGCGUAAGGCCUGAUGCUUUCUCAUAUACACCGUUGAUUUCUGGUUACUGCUUAGCUGGAAGGACGGAUGAAGCGGAGAAGGUAUUUGAUGGUAUGGUCUCAAUUGGCCUGUCACCUACUGAAGUUACGUAUAAUACUUUGCUUCAUGGCUACUGUAGUGCUAGUAGGAUAGACGAUGCAUAUUGUCUUUUUCGAGAAAUGUUGAGGAAGGGAGUUACGCCUGGAGUUGUGACUUAUAAUACUAUACUGCAUGGUCUGUUUCAAACCAAGAGAUUUUCUGAAGCAAAGGAACUCUAUCUCAAUAUGAUCAAUAGUGGAACAAAGUGUGACAUUUACACAUACAACAUAAUUCUAAAUGGUCUUUGCAAAAGUAAUUGUGUUGAUGAAGCAUUCAAAAUGUUUCAGAGCCUGUGUUCUAAGGGUCUUCAACUUAACAUUAUUACUUUCACCAUCAUGAUUGGUGCGUUGCUCAAAGGUGGCAGAAAGGAAGAUGCCAUGGACUUGUUCGCUGCUAUCCCUGCUAAUGGUUUGGUUCCAAAUGUUGUGACCUACCGCUUAGUUGCAGAAAAUCUCAUAGAAGAAGGAUCGCUAGAAGAGUUUGACAGUCUGUUUUCAGCAAUGGAAAAGAAUGGUACUGCACCAAACUCACAAAUGUUAAAUGCUCUAGUUAGGAGGCUGUUGCAUAGAGGUGACAUAAGCAGGGCUGGGGCUUACCUCUCCAAACUUGAUGAGAGGAAUUUCUCAGUUGAGGCUUCCACUACUUCAUUGCUUAUAUCAAUUUUCACCAGUGAUGAAUAUCAGCACCAUGCCAAGUCUCUGCCUGAAAAGUACCAUUUCCUAAAUGAAGCCAAUAGUUCAGCGUUGAUAAAAAAGUGAAUAUUGUUUUCAACUAUGUUGAUACAUCUUCAUGUGGCAUCUUAUUUACCAACCCUGCUCUGCUGCCUCCUUUGUUUGAAGAAACACUCUGGAGAAAUGUUGUCCUGUUAAUGCGCUUUGGUAUCAGGCUCACCAGCUCAAGUUAUCUUGUGCCAUCCCAGUUUUAUAAGUAUGUUCAGAGGGGGGAACAAUUAACAAAUUAACAGGUGUAGCAACAUUCGCUCCUUAUUGUUGUAUAUUUGUGUAACUGAUCCUGAUGUCCUGGGGAUAAAAUCAAUGAUCUCGACCUUUUUUUCCUGAUAAAAUUCAUAUAUUUUAAACCCUGUAUUAUCCCCUCACAGUUUGCAGUGGUUACCGUUUGUAAUUCCAUGGAUUAAGAGAAUAAGAACAGGCUCUAACAAUCACGCUUCGGUUAACAUUAAGUUUGAUGUUUUUGAAGGCUUUUGUUUCUCUAUUCACCAUUUCUGGACGCAAGGUUAUAAAAAUGAAUAUUGCUUCUACAGGCCACUUUAAUGUAACAUGAUCUGCCAACUCAACGCCUACUGUUCAGUGGUUACCGUUUGUAAUUCCAUGGAUUAAUAGAAUAAGAACAAGCUCUAACAAUCACGCUUCGGUUAACAUUAAGUUUGAUGUUUUUGAAGGCUUUUGUUUCUCUAUUCACCAUUUCUGGACGCAAGGUUAUAAAAAUGAAUAUUGCUUCUACAGGCCACUUUAAUGUAACAUGAUCUGCCAACUCAACGCCUACUGUACAGGCCCGGCAUGCAUGUUCCUUCUGUUAUCAUUCCUUUGUGACGUGGAGUUCCACCUGUGCUUUCGAGGUAUGUUCUAAACUCAAAAGUGUUUUUGUGAUCUUUCAUGUUAGAUGUUCCCUAUUUAUGCAAUGUGGGCAUUGUCUAUUAUUAGCGUGCUGAUCAUUUGUUUGUGUAACAGGUCUUGUGAAGUUUCUCUUGUUGAUAUUGAACACGUAACCAUACAACAUUGCAUAAUUUCAGUAGAGGGAAAGUAUGUCAAUAUUUGUCCAGAAGAGGCAGAUUCUUACAAUCUCAUGCAGAGACUUGUUCUGAAUUCUGUUUGAUAGUUAUUAUUUUCCCCUUAGUACUGUGUUGGUUCGUGACUCUAGUAGGAUUUUGCUCAAUGCUGCUCAUGUGUUAUAUAUGUUUCCUUGAAACAAAAAUCAAGAGCCUUGAAUGCUUUUUUUUAAAAAAGUAAGGAUUGUGCUUAUACUUGGCUCACAUUCGUUAGUUCGUUACAGAGAAGAAAUGGUUUCUUCAGUGUGCCAUAACAUCCAGUUGUUCAUUAGGUGAUAAAAGUAGCAAUGGAGAAUUUUGGAAGUGUUUCAGCUGUCAAAAGUAUUGUCUCUGUUAAAACACGUGUAAUUUAUUUAGUAUUUUUAGCUUUUAAAUUUGAUAACAAACAAACAGGGAGUAUUUGUAUGAAGAGAGAAUGUAUGGUCCAAUAGUAUGGUGAAAUGAGAUGGCUACCUUUCCAUUUUGUUGUUUUUCCAUCGAAGGCCUUAAGAGCAGCCCUUUGAGAUGUUGCAGUGAUAUUUCCAAUUUUUUGACCAUUUUCCCCUUGGUUUUUGGCAGACCACAGCCUGAAGCAGCGUGUGUAUGUGACCACACCUCCGCCACAGCAAAGUGAUCGUUUUUCCAAUGGCAGGGGCAGAGGCAGCGAUGGUGGUGCAUCCAGCACCGGUGGAAAGUGACAGAGGAGAGAUGGCCGUGGUAGUAACACUUAUGGCAACAACAGUCACAGGGGCCUUCGAUGGAAUAUCAGCACCAUGCAACAACAGUCACAGGGCCUAACUUAAACUGACGUGAAUGGAAAAGUGAAGCAUUCUGAGUUGCUUUCUCUUCCUGCUCAUGAAGCCAAAGUGUAUAUUGGGGUCGAGCCAAUCGAUGAAUCUCCUUAAGAUCUCAAAAAAAAAAUUGAGUCGGUUGGAGAAGCCCUGGAUGUGAGUACUGCCUAAUUUCUCUGGUUUAGUUUGCAAUUGUUUUAUUCUGCAAUUCAUGGUCACUUUUUUAUGCAGGUGGAAAGGGGGAAACAAGCUGUAUGCAUUUGUUAAUUUCAGAAUUAAAAAGUUGCCUUUAGACAUUAAAGGCCAUCAAGUUGAGCAAUAAAGACCUAAAGGUUUGAUUCGCUUAGAUUCAGAGUUGAUCUUUGUUUAUUCCCUACCAUUGAUUUAUCACCGUUUUUUAUAUUGAUUUUUUUACAAAAAAAGAUGGAUGCAUAAAUGAUAAAACAAGCAUUUGAUAGCACAUGUCUUCCCGAGAGUUGGAAACUAAGUUCAAAAUUGUGUUUCUAUAUACUUUUUGUUUGUAGUUUUGUGAAUCACUGUUAGACAUAGCAAUGUCAUGGAUGUAUGAUAGUAGGAUACGCUCAGAUCCGCUUGCUAUUCUAAAAAGGGUUUGCAGCAGUUGCAUUGUUGAUCAAUGAACUUAGUUGAUUGUAGAAUACAACCUUGUGAUUAUUUUGGGACAUAACAAAGCACAAGGCUAUCUGAUUACACUUACAUCCUCUUGCUAAUUUUGAAAAGCUUGCAGCGGUUGCCCUGCUGAGUUGAAACUACAGAACCUUGUGUUUACUUGUAUUCCAGAAACCAGAACUGUGGAUGGUGGUGGAUUACGUUUCCAUAGUUUGUUGAGAUACCUUUGUAAAGUAGUUUUGGGCCCAAAUAAUCCAAGCCUACACCAACUUGCAUGUAAGCUAAAUGCUUUUGCCAUAUUAUCCAAACCUAGUUUUGCAACCCAGAGAACGUGAAUACACUCUAGUAGUUGCUGGUUACUUGUUACACUUGAUUAACUCAUAUAUAUCUUGUGACCCUGUUAUUUUUUGUUGUUGCAGGAAUAGUCUCUUACUCUCAGGCUAAGAACAGGCGAUUUGUCGGUAAUAUACCCCAUGAUUAGACGCAUGAUGUUUUCAAAAAUGCAGUGUUGAGCUGUCGCGGUGAGAAUAAAAUCUUUUAUUCAUAUUUUCCUUUGGUCUUCCUGCACGGCAACACCUGUGACUUUGCCUCUGCCACAGCAAGAUGGUCUUCAUUACUUUUUUUUUUUGUGUGUGAAGGAGGUGGCUGUCGUACUCAUGGCAGUGGUGGUGCGGCAAUGGCAGUGGUGGAUCCAGCACCAGUGGAAAGCAGCAGAGGGGCAACAACGGUCGAAGGGAUUAUUGUUCCAUAUUGAUGCUAGCAUUUGUUGCUGUUGGCAUUCAGUAGUUAGACCUUCAGAGCCUAGCACUAAAAGAGUAUUGCUGCUGUGUUACCAUGCUGGGUGUAUAUCUUAGAUAGUACUGGAAACUGUACUCUAGUAUUUUUUUUCUUUGUGUGGUGUGUCUCGGUAACAAACUGCUGUUGUUAGAAUGACAAUACUGCAAGUGGCAGAUGCGGUCUGGGAUGAUGUGGUAUUCUAUUUGUGUGCCAAGGUUGAAUAGAUGUGAUAGUCGCUGCUGAAGAAGCAGUGUACUCUUUUGCCGUGUUCAGUUUGAGGAACUGAAUGUGGUGGGUAAAACGAGAUGUGCCAACCAAUCACUACCUCUAGAUUAAUCUUGAAUACUACAGUUCCAAUGUUUAUUCUGUGUUGACAAAAAAAAAAUGAAUUCAGUGCUGAUCGUCUUUAUGUGACAUGUCAAUUUGCCGGAGUGAUUAUUCUGUCAUGCGCUCUAAUGUUUUGGCUUUGCUCUGUGGAAUGCUUUGAUGAAAUUAUAUUGAGAAAUGUUCUCCUGUCAAGUUUAUCACAGGUAAAAUAAUCUUUCAUGCAGUCCUAGUUACAUCUAACUGUAUUAUCGCCAGGGUGCUAUUAAACCACAAAAAAGGACGUCUUACUCUCCCGGUCACCCUGCUUCAAUCAAUCCUGUCCUGCUCCUGAUUCAAUUCAAGUCGCCGCUUCGAAGAAUUAGGAUGUUCUAAUUGACUAAUUCUUAAAAAAAAACGAAAUUUCAGAUUAUUUUUUUCAGGCUCUGCAGUAUAGAGAACAUCAGUAUGCGAUGAUGGAGAAAAGAGGAAAAAAAAAAUCAACAAAGAGGCGGGUCAAUUGGGCCUGAUAGCGCCCAGCAGCAGCACGCCAGCAUCCCCCAUCUGCACCCGUCGCUCCACCUCCACCUGCCCAACCACGCCGCCGCCGCCGCCGCCGCCCACCAGCUCCUACCCUCACACAACCCAGGCCACGGCACACGCGGCUCCGCCCAGCUCACGAGAGUGCUCUCCGGAGGCGGACGCAGCUGCGAACAGCCUCUGCAUCUCCAGCGACACACACUCUCCGCACAGGCCCCUGGCACUCCAGUACUCCACGACCGGCGCCACCCGCGCGCCGCCGACCACACACACCGCCGCUGCCGCCUCCCUGCAACCUCCUACCCUCGCAGGGCCAGCCCCUCCACGGCGCAGCAGUUGGCAGUUCCGCCCAGCCUACGCGAGCGGCUCUGCAUCACCGAUCCGGAGCGCGAAGCGGCGCCGUCCACGCCUCUCCACGCUGGGCCGGUAGACGCGCGCACGCCCCGCCGGCAUGUCGCGCCGCGUGAGCGCCGUCCGCGACCGGUGCUUGGAGCUGGAGCGCGUCAUCGCCGACCGCGCCCGCUCGGGAAGCCUCGGCCUCGGCGACGCACUCAAGCUGUUCGACGAAUUGCUUCCGCACGCCAGGCCCGCCUCGGUCGUCGCCUUCAACCACCUCCUCGCCGCUGUGUCUCGUUCCUCAGGCCGGCGCUCUACUACCUCAGAGUCAGAGACCGUCGUCUCCCUCUUCAACCGGAUGGUACGUGACUGUUACAUCAAGGUGGCUCCCAACCGUUGUACCUACAGCAUUCUCAUCGGCUGCUUCUGCCGCAUGGGCCAUCUGGAGCAUGGCUUUGCCGCCUUUGGCCUCAUCCUUAAGACAGGAUGGAGGAUGGAUCACAUAGUCAUCAAUCAACUGCUCAAUGGUCUCUGUGAUGGAAAGAGGGUGGGUGAGGCCAUGGACGUUUUGCUCCAACGAAUGCCUGAGCUUGGCUGCAUGCCGGAUACAGUUUCAUACAACAUACUUCUCAAGGGUUUGUGCAAUGAAAAGAGAGCUGAGGAGGCACUUGAGCUGCUCCACAUGAUGGCUGAUGAUCAAGUUUGGAGCUGCCCACCAAAUGUUGUGUCCUACAGCACCGUCAUCAACGGUUUCUUUACCGAGGGUCAAGUGGACAAACCUUACAACCUAUUUCUUGAAAUGAUGGAUCGAGGGAUUCCACCUGAUGUUGUGACAUACACCACAGUAAUUGAUGGCCUGUGCAAAGCUCAAUUGUUUGAUAGGGCUGAGGCUGUCUUUCAGCAGAUGAUUGAUAAUGGCGUUAAGCCAAACAUUGACACAUAUAAUUGUCUGAUCCAUGGAUACCUCUCUAUUGGGAAGUGGAAAGAGGUGGUACGAAUGCUCGAAGAAAUGUCUGCAGGCGGUCCUAAACCAAAUUGUUGUACUUAUGGUUCGCUGCUGAACUACCUAUGCAAGAAUGGAAGAUGCAGAGAAGCUAGAUUUUUUUUUGAUUCUAUGAUUGGGAAGGGGAUAAAACCUUCCGUAACUACCUAUGGCAUUAUGCUUCAUGGAUAUGCUACCAAAGGUGCACUUUCUGAAAUGCAUGAUCUCCUAAAUUUGAUGGUAGCAAAUGGUAUUUCACCUAACCAUCACAUCUUCAACAUAUUCUUCAGUGCAUAUGCUAAAUGUGGUAUAAUAGAUAAGGCAAUGGAUAUUUUUAACAAAAUGAGGCAGCAAGGGUUGAGUCCUGAUGCAGUAAGCUACGGAGCACUAAUAGAUGCACUAUGCAAGUUAGGCAGGGUGGAUGACGCGGAGGUCAAAUUCAACCAGAUGAUCAAUGAAGGAGUGACUCCUGACAUUGUGGUUUUUAGCUCUCUUGUUUAUGGACUGUGCACCGUUGACAAAUGGGAGAAGGUUGAGGAAUUAUUCUUUGAAAUGUUGAAUGUAGGAAUUCACCCUAACAUCGUAUUCUUCAACACAAUAUUGUGUAACUUAUGCAAAGAAGGACGGGUUAUGGAAGGCCAGAGACUCGUUGACUCGAUUGAAUGCAUGGGUGUGAGGCCUGAUGUUAUUUCAUAUAAUACAUUAAUAGAUGGCCACUGUUUAGCCGGUACAAUUGAUGAAGCAUCGAAGUUACUUGAGGGUAUGGUAUCAGUUGGCUUGAAACCUGACAGUUUUUCUUAUAAUACAUUGCUUCAUGGCUACUGUAAAGCUGGAAGGAUAGACAGUGCAUAUAGCCAUUUUCGAAAAAUGUUGAGUAACGGUAUUACACCUGGAGUUGUGACUUAUAAUACUAUACUGCAUGGUCUGUUUCAAACCAAGAGAUUUUCUGAAGCAAAGGAACUCUAUCUCAAUAUGAUCAAUAGUGGAACAAAGUGGGACAUUUACACAUACAACAUAAUUCUAAAUGGUCUUUGCAAAAGUAAUUGUGUUGAUGAAGCAAUCAAAAUGUUUCAGAACCUGUGUUCUAAGGGUCUUCAACUUAACAUUAUUACUUUCAACAUCAUGAUUGGGGCGUUGCUCAAAGGUGGCAGAAAGGAAGAUGCUAUGGACUUGUUCGCUGCUAUCCCUGCUAAUGGUUUGGUUCAAAAUGUUGUGACCUACCGCUUAGUUGUAGAAAAUCUCAUAGAAGAAGGAUCGCUAGAAGAGUUUGACAGUCUGUUUUCAGCAAUGGAAAAGAAUGGUACUGCUCCAAACUCACAAAUGUUAAAUGCUCUAGUUAGGAGACUGUUGCAUAGAGGUGACAUAAGCAGGGCUGGGGCUUACCUCUCCAAACUUGAUGAGAGGAAUUUCUCAGUUGAG